ensembl:lncRNA
UGCAGUUGUUUUGUCUCCAUAGCAACAGGUGUCAUAUUUCGAAAGCCGGGAGGAUUUUUCUUUCUUUUUUUUUUACCGGAAAAGGCCGAAGCGCGAGCGAGCAGCCGCGAGUCGGUGCCCGCAAACAGGAGGCCACUUUUCUCAGAAAUUACGCAGCGGGUAUCGCGUCUCAUUAGGCGUCUUAACCGGAACAAACAGCGGGGCAUUUCGUGAUCGCUGCCCGGGCCCCGAGGCAGCGAUAAUAACUCCGCAGCGAUGCGCUAAAUGUAACCUCAUUCAGCGCAAAAAGGGACAUUAUAUUCACGCAGAUGAGCGGCACAGGAGUUUGAGAGCAGUUGUGUUUUCCGCCAGUAGGUGGAGCUGCAGCGUGCGCAGUGUGCAGCAAAGAACAUCUCAGCUCCGUGUGUCCAUCAGUGUGACGAGCUGCACGGCCUGUUUCAGAGACCUAGAACAUCACACAGAUCACGUUGUUCACAUUUGGAAAAAAUAACACGAUUGAGAACUCAUCCGUUCAGAGACUUAACAGCAAAAUGUACUUCAUGGAGAAAGAGUAAAGUUAGUCUGCAGCCAUGCGAGUGCGGUUAUUGUUGUGGAUAAUCACUGAUAAUGUAAUAUUGUCUAAGCUUUGAUCAAAUAUUGUAGCUGCUUUAAGGUGAACCCUUUUAGUUUAUUCAUAUGCUGUUGGUUGAAAGAAAUAUUUUGCAUUCCACAAACUUAUCAUUAUCACUUUAAUUUGUGUAGUUUCAUUUAAAACAAGAAUAACAUUAAUUAUACUCCUCCCACCCCCCCCCAAGUGUGCCAGGAUGGUGUGACAGUGAGCAGCGUGCACGACACUGAACCGGCCUAAUGUAUAUAUAUAUAUUUACUUAUACCUCCUGGUUACGAUGGGAUCACACCGGCCAAAUGGGGUAAUAAAAAGUGAGCGGGGGCCCUUCUCCACCGCCUCUCCCCGAUUCCUACGCACUAGGUCAAAGCACACCCAUCCUCGAUCCCCGCCUUCAUUUUUGUAUUUACACACCUGCUUGUCAUUCGUCUCCAUGUGAUAGAGAUUAGUCUGAGCCUCCAUUGUUUCUGCUUGGUCUUAUGCACUGGCAGCCUGCUGUCGUAUGGGUGCACUGUAUUUGUUCACGUUGAACAAAUAGGAACUCUGCGUUUUAAAGCCAACGCUCGCCUUCUCUAAUUAGGGAGAUGAAAAACACGGAGCUGUUUGCUUACUGCGGUUAUGUUUCAGGACGAGGCUGCUCGCAGCAACUUCAGCGCUGCGUAAUGUGUCUCACUGCCUGGUGACGGAUUCCUACCAUUCUAUUAUUUGUUGUGUGCUCACUGUUUCCACCUCUGUUAUCUCAUCCUCAUACACCUCCUGACCACUCGCUGUCCCGCUUGCUGUUAUAUUCCCAACAAAGUGCUAUAUUUACGGUGAUAAAUCAAUGCCACGCGGGUUUGGGAGGACCGGGUCACCUGACACGCUGUGAGAGAGCGAGGCUGGAUGAGUGACGCCAACGUGAACUCAACGGCGCUGUAAUAUUAAAAUAGGAGAUGGCGUGUAAAAAAAAAAAGAAGUUUUUUUCAUGACAACCGUAUCAUUAAAUAAUUGCUAUGACUAAAACUGCAAAAAAAUUAAUUCAUUUGCACUAAAAAUGUGUUAUUUUACAGACUUUGAUGCUACAUGAUACGGGUGAAUCCACAUCUGACAGCACUUACAACACUGGGAGCUGAAAACGAGCUCACAACAGCAGCCUUGUGCUGUGUGAGGGGGGGGGGGUGAAGAUGGAGAUGGAGAGGGGGGUUUAAAGUUAACACCAGCACGCAAUUGAGGCACCAAGUGAUUUAUUUGAUAAUCAGGUUCAA